GAAAGUAUUUCAAUGCGUCCAGCAGAAGUGGAGUUGUUGGCAAUAAAACACGGCCUCCGCUGUGUUCUCGUUCCUUCUUCAAUGCAUUGCACUGCGAAGGCUACCGCGAGGUGGAGCUUGGCCACAACGCUCUGCCUUCAAAAUGUCAACGUGGCGCGCAGUUAAAAUUUCAUUUUGGAUGUUAACAUGGAUGCCACAACUUUUGAUUUCGGUGCCUACGACACGCAAAACGUAAGCGAAAUGCGGCUGUCUUCACGUGAGAG
rnacentral:lncRNA from 1 species